AAGUAUCAAGUCCAAUUGAUUAAAUGUGAAUCAAGUCAUCAUCAAUCAAUGCCAAAUAGAAAAGAAAUGAAGAUUACAAGUCAACAAUAUUUUUUUGGUAUUUUUUGAAUUAAAAUAAAAUGCAAAUAAAAAAUAAUCAAAUAAGGUCAAACCUCAAAUUCAAUUCAAAUUAACUUCAACAAGUCCAAUUAAAUUCUCAUAGGUUUAACAUGGUCAAACAAGCUUUGACUAAUUUUCUCAACAAUUUUGGAAAUCGGAAAGUAUUUAAAAA
rnacentral:lncRNA from 1 species